GCAAGUCGAACGAGAAAGUCCGCAAGGAUGAGUAAAGUGGCGACCGGGUGAGUAACACGUAGCUAACCUGCCCUCGAGUGGGGGAUAACCUGGGGAAACCCGGGCUAAUACCGCAUAACAUCCCGAUUUCGAUGAUAUUGGGAGCAAAGGCCCGCAAGGGUCGCUGGAGGAGGGGGCUGCGGCCGAUUAGCUAGUUGGUGAGGUAACGGCUCACCAAGGCGAUGAUCGGUAGCCGGCCUGAGAGGGCGCACGGCCACACUGGCACUGACACACGGGCCAGACUCCUACGGGAGGCAGCAGUGGGGAAUUUUGCACAAUGCCCGAAAGGGUGAUGCAGCAACGCCGCGUGAGGGAUGAAGGUCUUCGGAUCGUAAACCUCUUUCGAUCGGGAAAAAUGGGCAGGUGUAGAGCCUGCUCUGAUGGUACCGGAUGAAGAAGCCCCGGCCAACUACGUGCCAGCAGCCGCGGUAAUACGUAGGGGGCGAGCGUUGUUCGGAAUUACUGGGCGUAAAGGGCGUGUAGGCGGUGUGGUAAGUUGGGCGUGAAAUCCCCGGGCUUAACUCGGGGGGGCCG
rnacentral:rRNA from 1 species